GGGGAAUAUUGCACAAUGGGGGAAACCUUGAUGCAGCAACGCCGCGUGAGUGAUGAAGGCCUUCGGGUUGUAAAGCUCUGUCUUCAGGGACGAUAAUGACGGUACCUGAGGAGGAAGCCACGGCUAACUACGUGCCAGCAGCCGCGGUAAUACGUAGGUGGCAAGCGUUGUCCGGAUUUACUGGGCGUAAAGGGAGCGUAGGCGGAUACUUAAGUGGGAUGUGAAAUACCUGGGCUUAACUUGGGUGCUGCAUUCCAAACUGGGUGUCUAGAGUGUUGGAGAGGAAAGUGGAAUUCCUAGUGUAGCGGUGAAAUGCGUAGAGAUUAGGAAGAACACCAGUGGCGAAGGCGACUUUCUGGACAAUAACUGACGCUGAGGCUCGAAAGCGUGGGGAGCAAAC
rnacentral:rRNA from 1 species